AACUCAGAGUUCAAGUUCAACCUCAGAGUUGGUUGAACCUCCUUUCUGAAACAGGCCACUGCCGUCCAGAUGUGAUGACAUCACGUUCAGGGUUAUAUCACCAGAAUAGGUUCUGCCUAACUGGACGCCUGUGAAUACACUAACGUGGGACAGCAAGUCAUCAAAGCGGGCCACAAAGAGACAGAAGUACUGCUGAACACGUCUGCAGGAGAUGGAGAACCUCAUCGUGCUGGGAGAGUCUCUGAAUCUGAACAAUAAACCUGAUCUCUGAACAUC